GGCAGCCUUGGCACAGAGUGAGCCAGGGAGCGCUCCUCCCCUCCUAGGUGCCUGGUGUCCGCUGCUCUGCGAAAGCUCCCGAAGGCAAAUCGUUGGUCCUAGGGCUCCCUCCGCCCCUUUCCACAUGCGGUCCUGACCUGUCCGUGACUCACCCCGGCAUUGGGUUCCGCGUGCGCGCGUGUGCUAGUGCGAGUGAGUGUGUAUGCGUGUGUAUGCUGGAGAGGGGCGGGGAGGAUCACUGCCCAACACUCCUCCUGCACGUGCCCCUCUAGUUUUUCUUCUUCCUUUGGGGCCCAAGGCUCUGCAGAGGUGGGCACUGGCGCUGUCCUGAAGGGCAAAUUUAACCCGGGACCUUGCUUCGCCCCUAGCUCUUCUGGGCAAUCUCCUUUUCUCUUUCCCCAGGCAUCUUCAUGGAUAAGUAAAACUUUUUUGCAAGCUUGA
rnacentral:lncRNA from 1 species